UACGGGGGGGGCAAGCGUUGUUCGGAAUUACUGGGCGUAAAGGGCGCGUAGGCGGCCACCGCAAGUCGACUGUGAAAUCUCCGGGCUUAACCCGGAAAGGUCAGCCGAUACUGCGGGGCUAGAGUGCGGAAGGGGCAACUGGAAUUCUCGGUGUAGCGGUGAAAUGCGUAGAUAUCGAGAGGAGCACCUGCGGCGAAGGCGGGUUGCUGGGCUGACACUGACGCUGAUGCGCGAAAGCUAGGGGAGCGAACGGG
rnacentral:rRNA from 1 species